CAAAAGAUAUGUCGGAACCACGACGUGCGAGAAUAAGGAGAGGCCGAGUGGACUUUUUACAUGGAGGAUUGACAUUAACUUCACGGAGAAGAUGGACACUAACUUUACGGAGAAGAUGGACAUUAACUUCAGGGAGAAGAUGGACACUAACUUCGCGGUGAAGGAAAGACAGAACAGCGCUGUGUGACUCUGCUGCUUUAGAACAAGUGCCAUUAAAAUAUCUGGACUUCUGAUAUGGAGCUCGGCCUCCUCUGGCUGCCAACUGAAGUGGGAGGGAGCCCCAAACGAACCCACUCAGAAUAGCUCUGCUGUGAGGAAGAGUAAAUGAACACAAUGAAGGUCAGUUUUUGGAGUGUGAAGGAAUGAAAGUGAGAUAGGAAGAGAGGGUAAAGGUGACUAAUAGUUUCUCGGCCUGAGGAUGUGGAAUCUGAUUUGGAGCAGGGCUUCUCCUGGUACGAAUGGAGGAAGGAGAUAAGGGAAACCUGUUCCUGGACAAGCACUUGACUAAAAGGGCUCCAACAUUCUGCUGUGUUGCUCGUGUGUUGACUACACUGAAGUAUAGGCACUCAAGUGCUGAACUCACAUAUCUAAACAUCCUUCAUCUUACAUAGCUUAAUGCAACAUAUUAGAGCCAAAUGCUGCUUGUUACUCAACUAGGUUAUUAGUAGCUUUGAUUUUACAUUCAAAAGCCAUGAUUGACUUAUUAUAUGCAAUUAAAGGCUAGUUUUCCAGUGUGUUUUCAGUUUUAUGUCCAAUUUCAAAGCUAAAGAUUACUGUGCACUGUAAUAAUGAUUCUGUUGUGAUGUACAUGUUAAAAUAAUAUGUCAGAUAAAUUACAUUCAUUAUGAUAAAUGAAUGUCCUUGAUUUUGUGGCUAUUAUUUAAGUAAAUAUUGAAUUAGAAAAAUAGGAAAAAAAUAAAUUAUUUUAGGUAAACAAAGC
ensembl:lncRNA